CCUAUCUCAGUUCGGAUUGGAGGCUGAAACCCGCCUCCAUGAAGUUGGAUUCGCUAGUAAUCGCGCAUCAGCCAUGGCGCGGUGAAUACGUUCCCGGGCCUUGUACACACCGCCCGUCAAGCCAUGGGAGCUGGGGUGCCUGAAGUUCGUGACCGCGAGGAGCGUCCUAGGGCAAAACUGGUGACUGGGGCUAAGUCGUAACAAGGUAAC
rnacentral:rRNA from 1 species